rnacentral:rRNA from 1 species
GACAGAGGGUGCAAACGUUGUUCGGAAUUACUGGGCGUAAAGCGCGUGUAGGCGGCCCUGCAAGUCGGGUGUGAAAUCCCACGGCUCAACCGUGGAAGUGCACUCGAAACUGCAGGGCUAGAGUCCUGGAGAGGAAGGUGGAAUGCGUUGGUGUAGAGGUGAAAUUCGUAGAUAUCAAGCGGAACACCGGUGGCGAAGGCGGCCUCUGGACAGUGACUGACACUGAGGCGCGAAAGCGUGGGGAGCAAACAGG